rnacentral:rRNA from 1 species
GUAGGGGGCGAGCGUUGUCCGGAUUUACUGGGCGUAAAGCGCGUGUAGGCGGGACUUUAAGUCGGGUGUGAAAGCCCGGGGCUCAACCCCGGGAUGCCGCCCGAGACUGGAGCCCUUGAGGACGGAAGAGGGGAGUGGAAUUCCUGGUGUAGCGGUGAAAUGCGUAGAGAUCAGGAGGAACACCCGUGGCGAAGGCGGCUCCCUGGUCCGUUUCUGACGCUGAGACGCGAAAGCGCGGGGAGCGAACGGGAUUAGAUACCCCGGUAGUCCGCGCCGUAAACGAUGGUCACUAGGUGUGCGCGGUAUCGACCCCGCGCGUGCCGUCGCUAACGCAGUAAGUGACCCGCCUGGGGAGUACGGCCGCAAGGUUG